rnacentral:tRNA from 1 species
GCCCACGUAGCUCAGUUGGUAGAGCGCAUCCUUGGUAAGGAUGAGGUCACCGGUUCAAUUCCGGUCGUGGGCUCCA